AUGAACCUCAGUCUACUUCCUGUUGCCUGCAUAUGAACAUAUCAACAUAUAGCACUAUGUCUGCCUGAACACUGCCAUGCUUCUCACCAUGAUGAUAAUGGACUAAACCUCUGAACCAUCGAAGACUGGCGAAUACACAAACAGUUGAAGGAAUGAGGAUGACAGAAAAUUAUUGUGAAGAUUCUUAAUUAAAGGCAACUUAGGGAAUGCCCACUCAAGAAUGGAAUGUGAAGACAGAGACCUCUCAGCUAGAACUGGUCCGAAUGCCUCCUCCUUUAUAAGAAGGUGCUAAGUAAGCAAGCUUACAAGGAGUGAGGCAACUGAAAGUCUUACCCAACUACAUGCCUAUUAACCACAGCAUUGAUGAACAUAGCACAGGAACCCCAAGGGCUCAGUAGUGGUGUUAGCUAACAGCUCUCCAAUUAAACUUAAGACCUGCUGAACAAUCGGGAAAUCAUGCCUGAUAAUCUGUAAACCCAGCCAACUACCCAGGGAGCGUGAAGUCAUGGAUCUUCGAGGUUAACAUACAGCCACACCUUUAAUAAAUAGCAUAAUUCCCUAAUUAUAUUCUAAAUAGUUCUACUUAUACCCACAGGUAAGGGUAGGCUUCACCCCUCACCAAGAAAACUUCUCUUUGAAACAGGCAGAGAUCAUUAGAGAAAACCAUAACCAAUCAAAAUGCAGCCAUGGAGCCCAGUCCCAAUGGUUACAUCUACAGAGCAACUCUCACACUUAAGGCUCAGGUAUCAUUGCAGAAGAGGGGGGCAGAUAGAUUUUAAGAGCCAAAGAUUGAAGCUUGAUCCUAAUUAGUCUUAACAAUAAAAAACCCAGAGUCAGAUUUAGAGGGUAAAAACUGGAAGAUCAGAGAAGCAGAGCAGCAGCCACAGUCACUUCUUACCUCUAUGAAUCCUCAGACUGCAUGCGGGGCUGAGAUCCUGUCUCCACUCACCUUAUAUUCCUGUCUCCAUCUCACUAGUGCUGGGAUUAAAGGCUUGCACCACUGCCACCUGCCUCUGUUUCUCCUUUAGACUGGUUCAAUCUCCUGUAGCCCAGGGUGGCCUUGAACUCCUGAUCUUCCUGCUGCCUCCUCCCAAGUGCUAGAAUUAAAGAUGUGUGCCACUAUUGCCUGGCCUCUAUGGUUAACUAGGGGCUAGCUCUGCCUUCUGAUCUCCAGGCAAGCUUUGUUUGUCAGAAUACAAAGUAUCAUACAACAAAAGAUCAGAGAGUUUUUCUGUGAGAUUGUGUUUCCUAGGAAUGCUAGAAGCUAUACCCGAAAUGUCUCACAAUGUGACUGCCUAGACAUGAAGUAAACAAGGAUAACAAUAGACAUUCGAAUGUGGACACGGAAAGACCAUAGGCCUCAGCUCCAUACGAAGCCACACAGGUAACUAAGCAAUACUUAGAGUGGGAGAAAUAGUC